CAGGAACCGAGUUCUGCCACUAAAUUUGUGAGAAGAACAGGGGAAUCCACUGAGUGACCAUUGCCUCCUCUGCAGCACACCAGGUGUAGGAGCUUGGGUGCCCCAUAUCUCAACAGAAAAACUUUCCCAAUGACCUGGCAGCAGCUAUGGAACAGAAAUAGGGGCAUUUAAUGGCUCCAGCCCUGCACAUUGACAGAACUUCUGCCACCAUUUGCC